AUGGCACGGGAAGAACCUGAUACCCGCUGGAACGAAGUAGGGUCUAUCAACUGCUAUGCCCUGUUCAUGGCCUACCUGUUGAUGGCUGUUAGGGGGCUGGCCUACCUCGUCAUUACCUGGUCCACCGUCGUUCUGCUAGGCGGCUUCGUCUCCAAUCUGGGGAAGAAGGACUUUUGGUCCCUCACCAUCAUCACCCUCGUACUAACACCUCGGGUCUCUGCUGAUGUCGGUCUGAAGGAGAAGUUAAAAUAUAUGGGGUACUCGUUCUAUGGCCUCUACCUUGCUAUAGUUGGAACUCUGACUCCAAACGAUGACAAUGACUCCUGUCCACGCCUACUGCUAGCAGUUGUUGUGUGCUUGUGUCACCUGCUUUUGGUUCCCAUAGUAGUGUGCCCUCUAGCGGCACUCUACGUGUGUGGGCCGCUGUUGAGCGCCUGCAUUUCUAUCUGGCGUCUAAUACAACAUGACUACGACAACGGCAAGGAUGAAUAUUCACACCUGCAGCCGGCCCUGAAUGUCUUGUACUCACUGGCUGUGUUGCAGGGUUUGCUCUUCUGUUACAGGCUCGCUGAUCGACGUCUCUCAGCAGCAACUUGA
rnacentral:rRNA from 1 species